AAUAAGUGCAGUCGUGGGGAACCGUGUCCGACGUUUGACCGUUCGUCUUGUUUGAAAAAUUUUAAAAAAAUUAGUCACACAUAAAUUACUAUUCAUAUUUUAUCAUCUAAUAACAAUAAAAAUACUAAUCAUAAAAAAAUUUCAAAUAAGACGAAUGGUUAAAAGUUGAACAUGAACACUGUAAAACUACACUUAUU
rfam:Oryza sativa Japonica Group DNA, chromosome 6, cultivar: Nipponbare, complete sequence.